UACGGAGGAUCCGAGCGUUAUCCGGAUUUAUUGGGUUUAAAGGGUGUGUAGGCGGGCUUUUAAGUCAGUGGUGAAAUCUCCGGGCUCAACCUGGAAACUGCCAUUGAUACUAUUAGUCUUGAAUUUUGUUGAGGUAGGCGGAAUAAGUCAUGUAGCGGUGAAAUGCAUAGAUAUGACUUAGAACACCAAUUGCGAAGGCAGCUUGCUAAACAAAUAUUGACGCUGAGGCACGAAAGCGUGGGGAUCAAACAGG
rnacentral:rRNA from 1 species